rnacentral:rRNA from 1 species
CAAACUGCGAAACGUAAUGCGAAUUGCAGAUCUCGUGAAUCAUCGAAUUUUUGAACGCAAGUGGCGCUCGCGGGUAAUCCUGCGAGCAGGUCUGUUUGAGUGUCUGU